UACGUAGGGUGCAAGCGUUAAUCGGAAUUACUGGGCGUAAAGCGUGCGCAGGCGGUGAUGUAAGACAGAUGUGAAAUCCCCGGGGCUCAACCCCGGAACUGCACUGGAUACUGCCAUGCUUGAGUACUGGAGAGGAGAUUGGAAUUUACGGUGUAGCAGUGAAAUGCGUAGAUAUCCGGAGGAACACCGGUGGCGAAGGCGGCUUCCUGGACCGACACUGACGCUGAGGCGCGAAAGCCAGGGGAGCAAACGGG
rnacentral:rRNA from 1 species